UGUCAUGGUCCGGGUGUGUGCCAGUGUGUCUCCCUCCGAGCCGGCGUCUCCACCCCUGGGAGGGGCCUCAGUGUUUUUGCUGAUCGUUGACAUCUGUGGGUAAUUAGCCGGGGGACUCAUAAGGCCAGCGUUCUCAAUCUCUCUUCGCCAGAUUCUCUGCUAAACAUCACUACACCUAACUGUUAAACCCCUGGCGAAGAGCUUCUACUUGGAUGCUGGACCUUCUGGCAGUCCCUCAGGCUACCACCAAAACUACCUACCUGCCUCUCUGCCUCCACGCCAGGAGCUUUUGGAUUUACACACCCGGAUUACUCCCCCUCUAUGUCAUCUCCGACCUCCGUUGGCAAGUACGCAGUACGAAGGAGGAUUUUAAGCCAAACAACAUAUUCAUAUGCCUCCUUAUCUAUGUUUGAACAUUUGCAUUCUGUUACAGUGACCCCGACCUUUUCCUGGACCUUUUGUGACUUGCUUUCCAGUCCAAUCCCCGGACCCGGACCAGAUCAUUAUUUAGUUAACGUCUACGCUCACCUUUUGUUUAUGAAUAUUUUGUGUGCAC
ensembl:lncRNA